CCCGGCACAAGCGGUGGAGUAUGUGGUUUAAUUCGAUGCAACGCGAAGAACCUUACCUGGUCUUGACAUCCCGGAGACCCUUAGGAAACUAGGGGUGCUUCCAUCUGGAAGAAUCUGGAGACAGGUGCUGCAUGGCUGUCGUCAGCUCGUGUCGUGAGAUGUUGGGUUAAGUCCCGCAACGAGCGCAACCCUUGCCUUUAGUUGCCAGCAGUUCGGCUGGGCACUCUAAAGGGACUGCCGGUGUUAAACCGGAGGAAGGUGGGGAUGACGUCAAGUCCUCAUGGCCUUUAUGACCAGGGCUACACACGUACUACAAUGGCCGAUACAAAGGGCAGCGACACUGCGAGGUGAAGCCAAUCCCGUAAAAUCGGUCUCAGUCCGGAUUGGAGUCUGCAACUCGACUCCAUGAAGUUGGAAUCGCUAGUAAUCGUGGAUCAGCAUGCCACGGUGAAUACGUUCCCGGGCCUU
rnacentral:rRNA from 1 species